GUCCAGCCUGACCUUGAGUGUCUCCAGGGAUGAUGCAUCCACCACCUCUCUGAGCACCCUGUGCCAGUGUGUCAGGGUGCUCAGCAUCCCCAUUCCUCCCCUCACCACAGUUACUUGCCCUCUCUUGCAGACCCCAUCCUGUUGCCACUUCUAAAUUUCUCUGUUUUCCCUGAGGGAUGGAGAAUGGCUUUUAUAUUCCCCAUCCCCCAUCUCCAUCUUUCCUUACUGCUAUGUCAAGCAUGAAAUAACACUACUUUUAUUACCACAGAAAUGAUUUUUUGAACAUUUCAUUUGCUCAUUACCCAUUUUUGGUGGGUUUUUUGUUUUUUUCCCUCCUGUGUAUCAGUGAAUUUGGGUAGUGAAAGCACCUGCUUCAUUUUGACCUUCUGCCUACUUAAUAUCCCUCUCCUGUUCUCAUGCAACAGCACGGCAUUGAAAAUAUUACUAAGAAAUAUUUUCUGCAUUGGGGCGACUGUUUCCAGAAACAGCUGGUGCAGAAACAUUCUGUUAAACUUAGGCCGUGUUUUAUUUUUAAAGAUACUUCUACCCAGUGCAAAUUUUCACUCUGGAAAUUUCCUUCCAAUGUUUAAUCAGCCCUUGGGAAACGCACUCAUAGCAGCUGUUCUUUUGAAGCUGGCACAGCAGAUUGAGCUCUACACUAGAUAAAGUUUGCUUCUCAUAUCUCCCUUCAAAAUAGUCAACAUUUAAAAGCUGAGUUAGAUAUCUUUCCGCGUCAGCAGUGCUAACAAGUCCACUCAGCCUGUGCCUUCAGCUGUAUACUUCCAGCCUUUCAGGACUUCGUAGCGCUUUAGGGGCUCAAUCCUACGUCGUGUACUAAUUAUAAAAUGGAUGUGGCCUUAUUAUCUUGUUCGGGUUUUGCUUUUGGUCCACUUUUCCUUCUUUCACUUUCUUCUUUGUUCACAAGCACCUACUUGCUGAAGUCUACAUAUUUGAGAAGAGCAUCGUGUUUCCCCCUGUUCACAUUUUACAUGUUCAGGAACUGUUCUGCAUGACGCUGAAAUUCUCAAAAGCCUCAGCCUUGGGUUGUGAGAAAUCCUACACCAUUAAAUUUAACUUUCUCCGCCAGGUCUGCUGAAUCAGGCUCCAUGUCAGUGAUUCUGGAAGCAGCUCAGUCAUCUGCAGAUCAGGUCCCUGCCUGUGUAGGGCAUUGCUGGGAAAGCACGUCCACAACCUCAGCCCCAAGGAGCACAAGUACCAGAACAGCUGCGUUUAUCAGCAAAGACCAACUCUUCCAGUCCUAAUACAGCAGUGUGAGUAGAAAGAGCUUUACAUUUAGAGGUGCAGGAAGCAAAAGGCCUCUCUUGGAAGUCCACUUGAGGUGGAGACGUCUAGCAGCACCAGGACUCAGAAAGUUCUAAGACUGUCUGUACUCUCAAGAGCAUCUCCCUUGAGACAGAUGAAUAUCUAUUCAUUGCUAUCUCCACUUGCUGCAGAAAUCGAGUACUUCUGCAUGUGGGAGGCAUGGUGCAGCACAGAUUUAUCAUGGAAAAACAGAACACUCCUUGCUGAAGACACACAGCUAAUACCUCUGAAAGCUACAGGCCUGUUGGAGGGGAGCUAAAUCAUACACUGGUAUGUAUUUAAUCUUGCAGCCAUAAAAAGGGUGGUUUGGUGAAUCUUUCCUACACUGAAAUGCAAUACGGACUCCCUUUGCUGUUAGAGGUGAGAUGCACAAGCAUGUGCUGUGGGAUCUGGAUGCAAAAUGUGAGGCAAAUCCCCAGAGCAGCCUAAGAGCAGGGCUCAGACCACCAGGCGCUUUGUCUGUCCCCUGUUUGCCUCCCCAUGGGCUCCUCUAGCUCCCCACAUAGGUGCAGGCCACCAGAGACAGGCCGGGAGCAGCAAGCUCAUUGCUUAUUGCACAUGAAGAGCUGCAGGUUCUCAGCCAUGCUGUUGUGUAGCCUGCGGAGCAUAUUUUUGGCU